CUUGGUCAUUUAGAGGAAGUAAAAGUCGUAACAAGGUCUCCGUUGGUGAACCAGCGGAGGGAUCAUUACCGAGUACUAUAACUCAUAACCCUUUGUGAACCUUUAUACCUGUUGCUUCGGCGGCGCGCCUCCCGGGGCGUGCCCGCCGGCAUUAUCAGAAUCUCUGUUCGAACCCGACGAUACAUCUGAGUGUUCUAAGCGAACUGUUAAAACUUUCAACAACGGAUCUCUUGGCUCCAGCAUCGAUGAAGAACGCAGCGAAACGCGAUAUGUAAUGUGAAUUGCAGAAUUCAGUGAAUCAUCGAAUCUUUGAACGCACAUGGCGCUUUCCAGUAUCCUGGGAGGCAUGCCUGUCCGAGCGUCGUUUCAACCCUCGAGCCCCCGUGGCCCGGCGUUGGGGAUCUGCCCAGGCAGUCCCCGAAAACCAGUGGCGGACCCGUUGGGCCCUUCCUUUGCGUAGUAACAUCUGCCUCGCAUCGGGAGCCUGCGGGCUAUCCGGCCUCUAAACCCCCCUCAAGCCCGCUCCGGCGGCACCAAGGUUGACCUCGGAUCAGGUAGGAAUACCCGCUGAACUUAAGCAUAUCAAUAAGCGGAGGAAAAGAAACCAACAGGGAUUGCCUCAGUAACGGCGAGUGAAGCGGCAACAGCUCAAAUUUGAAAUCUGGCUCCUUCGGGGCCCGAGUUGUAAUUUGCAGAGGAUGCUUCGGGUACGGGUUCCUUCCGAGUUCCCUGGAACGGGACGCCAUAGAGGGUGAGAGCCCCGUCUGGUAGGACACCCAGCCCGUGUGAAGCUCCCUCGACGAGUCGAGUUGUUUGGGAAU
rnacentral:sRNA from 1 species